AGCUCCAGUAGCGUAUAUUAAAGUUGUUGCAGUUAAAAAGCUCGUAGUUGGAUUUCUGGCGUGGUGCGCCCGACCCGUCGCCGCUAAGGCGACGAGUGUUGGCGCGCGCCUGCCAUCCUUCCGGAGAGUGUGCCUACCCUUCACUGGGCCGGGCACGCGAUCUGGAUCGUUUACUUUGAAAAAAUUAGAGUGUUUAAAGCAGGCUUACGCUUCUGAAUACAUUAGCAUGGAAUAAUAAGAUAGGACUUUGGUUCUAUUUUGUUGGUUUCUAGAACUAAAGUAAUGAUUGAUAGGGACAGUUGGGGGUGCUAGUAUUUAACGGCCAGAGGUGAAAUUCUUGGAUUCGUUAAAGACUAACUAAUGCGAAAGCAUUCACCAAGGAUGUCUUCUUUAAUCAAGA
rnacentral:rRNA from 1 species